GUCACUUCCUUGAUACGCUUCGAUCACACGGGCAAGAGGCCAUUCUCCCCUACUUGCUUUGGGUUCAGCAAUCAAUACCACAUCGCCUUGUUUCAGGUUAUGUUUGGGAUGAAACCAUUUCUUGCUUACAUUAAGACGUGGUAGAAACUCCUUUCUCCAGCGCUUCCAGAACAGCUGUAACAAUUGUUGUACUCGAUGCCAGCGAUUCCUAGGGUUGUUCGCUUCAACUUGAUCAAGAGCUUCAGGAGCAAAUACCCCACCGAUCUGUCCGACUAUAAAAUGAUUUGGAGUAAGUGGGGACGGGUCGUUUGGAUCUGAACUCACAUAAGUGAUGGGCCGUGAGUUUACCAGACUUUCAGCUCCACACAUUGCGGUCUGAAGUUCUUCAUCCGUCACAUCUGCAUCUCCUAGGACGAUUUUUAUUGCCUUCUUGGCGCUCUUUAUCAUAGCCUCGAAAAUCCCUCCAAAAUGAGGGGCCGAUGGAGGAUUGAAUUUCCAUUCAAUAGGUUGAUACUUGGUGGUUUCUUGGGCAAUUUUGUCCUGGUUAAAAGCUUGAACUAAUUCUCUCAUCUCCCGCUCUGCGCCCACGAAAUUGGUCCCAUUGUCCGAUAUAACAUAUACGGGCGUCCCCCUCCUCGAUACCAUUCGCGUAAAGGCAUUGAUGAAGGAAGCCGUGUCUAAUGAGUAUGACAUCUCAAGGUGAACAGCUCUUGUCGCUAGACAAGUAAAUAGGCAUAGGUAUCUCUUUGCUUUGGCUUUGCCUCGUCCUUGCUUCGUUAGAAAUGGGCCUCCAUAAUCCACUCCGACUCUUUCGAAAGCUCGUAACGAUUGAAGUCGCGGUCUGGGCAGCGGUGCCAUCUUCUGCUCGGCUGUUUUUACAGAAAAACGUCGUCGACAUUGCGCACAUGACUCAACGAUAUUCCUUACCGCGCGUCUUCCUUUUACGAUCCAGAAACGACUGCGUAGCAGUGUUAGAACCUGCUCAACUCCGGAACCAUGUCCGAGUUCUUCAUGUGCAUCCUUGAUGAUGAGUCGGGUCACCACGUGCUCUUUUGGCAAUAAAAUGGGGUGUUUUGUGUUGUAGGAUAGUUCAUCCGCAAGUCUUAAACGUCCGUCCAUCCUCAGAAGACCAUCGUCACCGUUCUUUGGACUAAGUCGCAGUAAACAUCCUUCUCGCUCUCCUUUCGGGAAAGCUUCUCGUUGCGCUUGUUUGAUCCACCACUUUUCCACAUUAAGUAUUUCAGUUGAACAAAGCGUUCUGUCUCGUUUUCGUAAUUCCCUUGGAAGUCUGCAGUUUGUAACGAAUCGUUGAACCCAUCCAGUCACACGACAAAGGCGACGGAAGGUAGAAAAAUGGUUUGGAUCAACGCCCAGGUUAACGCGCGCCUGGACCAUGUACGUCUGUGCCACUGUCUUUUCAAUAUCUUCAACUUUCGUCUCCUCUCUAACGGAAGGCGCUGAUGGCCCCGAGAUCUCGACAUCUUUCAAGAACGAUGGUCCUUCCAACCAAAAUGUGCUUUUGGCUAGUUCCAUAGCAGAUUGACCUCGGGUCGCUAGAUCUGCUGGAUUCUGUAUCCCAGGUACAUGCCUCCAUUGCUCGGGACUCGUCGUCCGUUGAAUUUCUGCGAUACGGUUGGCUACGAAGGGUUUAAACUGCCGGCUGUGGUUUCGUACCCAAUACCACACAUUCUCGGAGUCAGUCCAAAAGAUCACUCGAUCGACAGUCAAGACUUUCAGAAGACUUUGAGCUAAACGGCUUGAGAGAAUGGCACCCAUAAGCUCCAGUCUGGGAAUCGUCAUCGCUUUGGUGGGGGCUACACGGCACUUUGAUGCGACAAGGCGUGAUGUAGGGCUAUCGUCUUCAUAUUGGCACACCAAAUAAGCGACUGAUGCGUAGGCGUCUUUAGAGGCAUCCGAGAACAGGUGUAGUUCCAUUUUAUUCGGGUUUGCGAGGCGUAAGCAGCGUGGUAUGGCGACAUGCGAUAACUGCGAAAGUUCUGUAGCCCAGUUCUUCCACUUAGUUGCUAGAUCACUUGGAAGGUUGUCAUCCCAAUCCAACCCUGCUCUCCAAAUCUCCUGCAUGAGAAUUUUAGCCCGAACAAGGAAUGGCGAGAGAAACUGAAGGGGGUCGUAUACAGCAGCUAUGGCGCUCAGAACAUUACGUUUCGUAGGGGUUUUAUUCGCAUCAGGAGGUUCCACUCUGAAGGUAAAUACAUCUCUUUCAGGAUCCCACAAGACUCCCAGAGUCUUGGUUUUAGACGGCUCUUCUUUGUUAAUUUCAACAGCAGAUAACCGGUCACUCUCGGGGAUGCUUGCGACAACUGAUGGCUCGUUCGACGACCAUUUCCGCAGCCGAAAACCUGCCAGACCCAACAGGUCAGAUAACUGGCGUCGCAGAUCCUGGGCACUCUCUAUAGUCUCGCUUGAAUCUAAGACAUCGUCAACAUACAUCGAGUUAUCGACCGAUUCUGCUGCCGCUGGGAAUGUCUCUGUAUGUGCUUGAGCGUGGGCGUGUAUUACAUACUGUGCGCAGAAUGGCGAGGCAGUAUUACCAAACAACAGGCGUCGAAACUCGUAUACGUCGGGCUCUCUUGAAGGAUCGAAAUCUCGCCAUAAGAAUCUGUGGAAGGGACGAUCUUUGUCUUGUAGACCAACUUGCAGGAACAUUUCAGAAAUGUCUGCGCUCAAAGCAACUGGUGCUCGACGAAAGCGGGUGAGAACAUCUACUAUUUCUCGUUGUAGUUUCGGACCUGGCCGUAUGCUGUCAUUUAAGCUCUUUCCGUCAUGCUUCAUUGCCGCGUCGAAGACAACACGAACUUUAGUCGUAUCUUUGCUUGGCUUAAUGACCGGAAAAUGUGGGAGGAACCACUGCUGUUCUACUUCGGACUUGGGUACUUUCUGAAUGUAGCCUUUUUUCUCAUAGUCCUUGAAUACUUUACUGUAGGCUUCCAGGAUGCUAGGAUCUUUCUUUCUGAGGGAUUUCUCUUGACUUUGGAGUCUUAAUAACGCCGCUUCGUAAUUGUUAGUCAACUUCGGCUCUCCGUCCUUCCAAGGGAUUCCUACCUCGUACAAACCAUUCUCAAACUUUAGGGAUCCAGCUACAGUUGCAGUUGCUGCUCUUUCGUCGGCUGUCAUAGCCUGUUUCUCAGACGUUUCUUUGAUUCCGAGUGCCUCAAGCUCCCAGAACUUGCGUAGAAUGUCGUCCGGUGGUGGUUGCUGGUCGACAUGGCAGGUACGGUACGUGCGUGUGAAGUGGGAACGAGAGUUACGCCGAAACUCGUUGACCAACGUUGGCCCGAAACAAACCCAGCCCAAGUUCGUUAGGCGUGCUACGGGAUCACUUGGUUGGCUGCCGCGAAUCUCUUCUAAUACGUAGUGGAAUACUGGAUUAUCGCUGCCAAGCAUGACAUCAAUCUGCUGUCGCCUGGAAACAUUGUCGAAAGGGAUCUUCUGCAGGUGAGGCCACUUUUCCUUGAGUUCUGACCACUGUAUGGCUGGUGUGUCGCUCGCAAUGUUAUCUAACACAUGUGCUUGGACAGGUGUCGUAAAUGACCUAUCUAGACUAGUCACAUUUAGUUCCACUCGGCGGGAUCUUUUCUGGAUCUCGAUGCCCCCUGUUCCUGCAAUCGUAAGGUUUACGUUUUGUCCAUGCAACUCAAGCUCUUCUGCUGCUUCCUCUGAUACAUAGGAACUGGUCGAACAGGGGUCAAGCAUUACAUUGACCUUUAACUCUCUGUUUCCAUUACUAAUCAGGGCAGGUAUUACCAUUAAAGAGACGUUCUCUACUUUAGUUGUAUUAUGUGUUCUUUCUUGGGGCUGGAAAUUGGUUGGUGGCAGAUUGUCAUCACGUGUCUUAUCAUUACGAGGAGCCUCUCUAUUUUGGUUCGAUUGUCCUGGGGGAACGUAUGUCGGUGCAUCAGGUCGUAAGUGUCCUCCCACGUCGUCCUUGUGUUUUGGAGGGCUUACAUGAAGGUAACUGCUGUGGCCUUUACUCAGGCACCCAUCAACACCACAUUGUCUCCUUUUGGUGCAAUCUUUGCUUCGAUGUCCAGCAGCCAGACAACAAUAACAGCGUCCAGCCUUAGUAAUUAAUUCUUUUCUCUUUAGGACGGGUAGAUCUUUGAAAGCUUUACAAACCCACGGGGGGUGAUCCUCUUUACAGUUUGGAACAAUACAACAUCGCGUUGUGAAUCUAGUAUUGAAGCCUCGAAAGCGUUUCUUCUGUUCAACACGGUUGUCCGUCUUUUUUCCAAUGCCAUUCGUUUCUUCUUUCGCCUCUUCCAUAACUUGCACUCGUAAUUCAACCCAUUCUUCAAGUGCUUCAAAAUUGUCUUCACGCGAGUGGUCCAUCAGCCAAUAUUUGUAAGCUUGCACGUCUUCUUCUGGUAGUUUCUCUUUAACUGUUAAAUUCAAGCUCUGUCCAUGCAAUGGUCCUGAAUCCUGAGUGGCGAUCAAUACUCUUUCUAAUAGAACUUGAAACUCUUCCAUAUCUUCCAGAUUUCGAGGACGAAUUUUCCGGAAAUUGCGCAAAGCUGUUAGGUGUUUUAUCUGUAAACGUCUCUCCCCUCCGUACUUCUUCUCCAAUUUAGCCUUCGCUCUUUCAUACGCAUUAAGGGAAUACCCGAGAUCUUUCACCAUGGUUAAAGCUUUACCCGACAAACAGCCUUGUAGUCUAAGCAUUUUUUCUCCGACAGGAAUAUCACGACGAUUGACAACAGACAGGAAUGCUGCCUUCCAGGAUUCAUAGUCACUUUUUUCUUCGCCAGAGAAGAUAGGGAGAUCCACUCCUUUAAGUCUAAUGGGAGAAAAUGUCUGUCUUUGUUCUUUGUUUUCAUUGGGUAGCUCUGAAUGUUUUUCUAAGUGACGGUUAAUAAGGAAGUUCUGUACUGUAUCAUUAUCCGAUACUUGCGAUCUUCGUUCGGCUUCUUCAGCCCGGGAUUUGUUGAGAGCAGCAACUUUCCUUGCAUCAUCGGUUCGCUGUUUUGUCAGCUGCAGCUCAGCGGUCAGCUUUUGGAUCUCUAGCUCCUUUACUCGCUGUUCGUUUUCCAUUUGGAUUAGCCUUUCACUAGCCUCCUUUGCCUCUUUUUGUUUCUGUUCCACAUUUGAGGAUUUUUUCGACAUAACUGGAGACUGGGGACUAGUUUCUUGUGAUCGAAGUGAAUUUAACACUGAGUCAGUUUCUCCAUUGCCAAGUCUUUCCUCGAGAUGUUGUUCAGCCAUUACAAUUAUUGAAUCGACUGAAGACCCGAUGUCUUCAAGUUCUUUGUCUAAAGUCUCGAUAACUGUGUUGGUCUCCUCAUUUUCAGCACUCACAGCAUAAAUCUCUUUUAAGCCAGAAAUAAUUUUUUCAAUAAUACUGAUCUCGGAAUUAACUUUAUUAAUAGCUCUUCUUAU
rnacentral:lncRNA from 1 species